AUGGCUUUAGAAGACUUCUGGCAGGGUGAGUACAAAGAGGUCGUGGUGUCUGGGAAACUCCGAGGAGAGAGGGCUAAGUCCAUGAAGGUUGUGGAUGGCCUUAUGAUUCACAGUGGGGACCCUGUUAACUAUUAUGUUGACACUGCCGUGUGCCAUGUGCUACUCAGACAGGGUGUGCUGGGCAUCAAGGUGAAGAUCAUGCUGCCCUGAGACCCUACUGGUAAGAUUGGCCCUAAGAAACCCCUGCCUGACCAUGUGAGCAUCGUGGAACCCAAAGAUGAGAUACUGCCUACCACCCCCAUCUCGGAACAGAAGGGUGGGAAGCCAGAGCUGCCUGCCAUGCCCCAGCCAGUCCCCACGGCAUAACAGGGUCUCCUUGGCAGCUGUAUCUGGAGUCUGGAUGUUCCUCUGUAAAGACAUUUAAUAAAGUCUUGUACAAAGACA